rnacentral:lncRNA from 1 species
AUAUGUGCGAUCUUUUGGUGGUGUUUUUAAUUCAAAACAUCAAUAACUUUAGUUUCUGAGAUUUUAAAAAGAAGUAAGACUACGAAUGUAAGGAAAUGAAGAAGAAUUAAAAAUGAUCUAUUUUUGUUGUUGUUUGUUGCUUUAGUCGAACCAGUAAACUGGUCGUUGUUUUAUGUUUUGGGUUUGAUUUGGAUGUGUGGUUGACUUCUAUCUUUGAGAUAUUAUUUGAUGUAACUCUCUUUUUUUUUUAAAAUGUAAAUUAAUUUGUGAUUUUUUAACAUGGAGUAGUGUUUGAUGCAUUUGUGAAUUCUUAUACAAAAUUUUAGAAACCUAUAUAAUAUAACAAGAAAGAAAAAAAGAGAAAAAAAAAAAAAGAGAAAAAAAGAAACAAAUCAAUAUACCCUAUUCUUAAUUAGUUCAUUGCUAAUCUAAUAGACAUGAUCUACACGCAAACAUUGUGACUGAUGAUAGUGUAGAUGAUCUACGCGAGGAUAGAAUCGGAAUUUAAUAUUUGCAGACAACCAUCCCCUUUCGGGUGGAGCCAGAAAGUGGAAUUUUUAUUUAAAGAUCCGACUCCCGACAACUAUAUAUCAACGGUUCAUAUCCGCUGAUUUAAAUCGGACGGUUCAUAAUUAUUAACAUGAUCAAAUCUGAGCCGUUGGAUUAGAAUCCGUUCCUAAACAAAAAUACGCAACUUUCUCCACUUAUUUACUAUUCUGCCACUUUCUUUAAUUUAAUUUUUAAUCUCGGCUACGAGUUUCUGGGUGAUGAUAAUUAAGCUUUUUUUCUUUCUGCUUUGCUUUAAUGGAAGGACCUUGACACUUCUCUCUCUCUCUUUCUCUUUCUCUUUGCUAUUCAUCUUCUACAGUUUCGUAAAAAAUAUUCUCUUCUUCUCCAAAAUAUCUGUUACUCUAAUUUUUGAUCGUCUUCUUCUUUGUCUUGAGCUUCCAUUUUUCCAUCAACGAUUUGUUUUUCCCUUGAGGUAACUUUUUCUUCUCUGUUCUUUCUAAUCUGGUAAUUUUGAGCUUGAUGAUGUUUGUGUGUGAAUAUGUGUGUUAGUAGUUACUAGAUCUACGUUGUUUUGAAAAAAAUUUAGUAGAUCUACGAGCUAUUGAGUUUCUUCUUCGAUUUUUUUCACUCUAUAGCGACAUCUUGGUUUCUGUGAGCUGUUGGCUAGGUUUAGUAUUACUAUUAAACCAGUUCUGGUUUUGGCUUAUUUAGGAUACAAAUAAACCCGGUUAAAUGCAAUCUACUCUAGAAUUCUGAUUUAUAUGGUUUAGAUAUUGAAUUUUGGUUGAAAGUGGUGUGAGUUAGAUCCCCNNNNNNNNNNNNNNNNNNNNNNNNNNNNNNNNNNNNNNNNNNNNNNNNNNNNNNNNNNNNNNNNNNNNNNNNNNNNNNNNNNNNNNNNNNNNNNNNNNNNUAUUCACUUUCAACCAAAAUUCAAUAUCUAAACCAUAUAAAUCAGAAGUCUAGAGUAGAUUGCAUUUAACCGGUUUAUUUGUAUCCUAAAUAAGCCAAAACCAGAACUGGUUUAAUAGUAAUACUAAACCUAGCCAACAGCUCACAGAAACCAAGAUGUCGCUAUAGAGUGAAAAAAAUCGAAGAAGAAACUCAAUAGCUCGUAGAUCUACUAAAUUUUUUUCAAAACAACGUAGAUCUAGUAACUACUAACACACAUCUUCACACACAAACAUCAUCAAGCUCAAAUAACCGGAUUUGAAACAUGUAUAAGAAGAACAGAGAAGAAAUAGUUACCUCAAGAGGGAAAAACAAAUUGUGGAUGAAAAAUUGAAGCUCAAGAAGACGAGAGUAUCGGAUAUUUUGGAGAAUAAGUUUACGAAACUGUAAAAGAUGAAUAGCAAGCUCGAUGUCGAAGCCUCUAACAAGUUUACGAAGCCUCUAACAUGUUAGAUUUGGUUGAAAGUGAAUACGUGACUCUUUCGCUUGUUGGAGAUGUUCCAUGGGAGUAAGCUUCCUCUCUUAGAUUCAAAACUUGUUAGAAGCUUUCUCUACUCUCUGCCAGAUAUCUUAGAAUCAAAUCUAACAUGCUAUAGAAGAUUAAAUCAUGGUGAUUGGUAUAAGCGCUCCUGAGUGAUUUCUGAUCCAAUGUAUAUUACAGGAUGUUUAUUGAUGUCUGCAAGAAGCUGAAGAUAAUGAAAGGAUGUGAUGCUAUUGGGUUAGGUAAAGUCGGUAAAGUCUUUUCUUCUCUCUGCUCCUAAGAGACAGACCAUGGCCGAGCCAAAACCGAAGCUUCAUGUUGCAGUGUUCUCAUGGUUAGCUUUUUGGAUUCUGGAAUUUUCAGGGCACAAAUUGUGGGUUGGCCUCCUGUGAGAUCCUAUAGGAAGAACACAUUGGCCACCACUUGUAAGAAUAGUGAUGAAGUUGAUGGGAGGCCAGGUCCUGGGACCAUGUUCGUAAAGGUCAGUAUGGAUGGUGCUCCUUGUCUGAGGAAAGUUGACCUGAGGAGCUACGCUAACUACGGGGAGCUUUCUUCAGCCUUGGAGAAAAUGUUCACCACUCUCACUCUAGGUGAGAUGUUUCAGUGAUUGCUAGUGAUGUGUUUGCAAAGCUCUUUCUCUUUAUGGAUCAAUGAAUGAGUGCAAUCAAAGUGGUUAACCUGCACUGUUUGUUUCAUGUUUAGGUCAAUGUGGAUCUAAUGGAGCUGCUGGGAAGGAUAUGCUUAGUGAGACCAAGCUUAAGGAUCUUUUGAAUGGAAAAGACUAUGUGCUCACUUAUGAGGAUAAGGAUGGGGACUGGAUGCUUGUUGGAGAUGUUCCAUGGGAGUAAGUUUUCUCUCUUAUAUUCAAAACUUGUUAGAAGCUUUCUCUAUACUCUACCAGAUAUCUUAGAAUCAAAUCUAACAUGCUAUGGAAGAUUAAAUCAUGGUGAUUGGUAUAAGCGCUCCUGAGUGAUUUCUAAUCCAAUGUAUAUUACAGGAUGUUUAUUGAUGUCUGCAAGAAGCUGAAGAUAAUGAAAGGAUGUGAUGCUAUUGGGUUAGGUAAAGUCUUUUCUUCUCUCUGCUCCUAAGAUACAACGUAAACUACUAUCUCUAAAACCCAUUGCAAGUAGGUUUAUGAUGAGAUUAGUGGUUUGUUGGUGUGAGUUACUUGUAGCUGAUUUAGAAAGUUCAAUUCAUAUUUGAUCACUUGUCUUCUUUUGGGAGUAAAGACGAUAAAUUAACAUGUAAAUAUAACGUAAUUAAACUGACAUAAAUAAUAGUCGUUAUUAGGAGUUUGGUAUGGACUUUGAAUCUAAAAUGUCUUAAUGAUUCAAUGUGGUGAACUGGUGAUAUUGCAGCUGCAGCUCCGAGAGCAAUGGAGAAAUCGAAGAUGAGAGCUUAAAAGAUGGAACAUGACAAAGCUUUCUAAUUAUACAAAAUAUGUGCGAUCUUUUGGUGGUGUUUUUAAAUUUCAAAACAUCAAUAUCUUUUAAGUUUCUGAGAUUUUAAAAAGAAGUAAGUAAGACUACGAAUGUAAGGAAAUGAAGAAGAAUUAAAAAUGAUCUUAUUUUUGUUGUUGUUUGUUGCUUUAGUCGAACCAGUAAACUGGUCGUUGUUUUAUGUUUUGGGUUUGAUUUGGAUGUGUG